UUGUUGACCAACAUAAAAAAUCACAUGAAAUUGGCUAAAAGUAUUUUUUUACUUUUAAAGAAUCAUCAAUAUGUAUCAUGUUUGAAAGACUCUGCAAAGAUAUUCUACAAACGUAUAAUCUUGCUUCUAUAAAUCAUCGCUGAAUUACAGUAAAUUAUUUCCUCUGAGAGAGAAAGCAUUUCUUUACUUCUGUGUCUGAAAUGUGCAAGAGAUAAUUUUCUCUUUUAAAUGUACUUUGAUGGAUUUACAAAAGUAUUUGCAGCAUUUCUAAAUAUUAAGAUCACAUUUAAAAGAAAAGUGAUAUUUGUUUGGAAUAAUCUAUAAAAGCAAAAAGAAGAAAAAUAUAUUUUGGUGAGAGAAGAAAUAUUCCUAUAAAGUUGUUGAUCUGUACAACUUGAAGGAUCGAUUUUAUUUUUCUUGGAGAGAUGUCGGAAGAAUUAAGAAAAUCAUCAUAUGACUGUGACAUCUGCAAAGAGUCAUUCUUAGAAGAAAGUAAAUUCAGUCAACACAAACAAAUUCAUGAAGGGGAAGCACCAUACCAAUGUGAUAUCUGUUGUAAAUCAUUCAGUCGAAGAGGUAGCUUAGCUACUCACAAACAGCUUCAUAUAGGGAAGAAACCCUAUCAGUGUGAUAUCUGUGCUAAAUCAUUCGCCGAUGGCAGUAACUUCAUUCGACACAAACAUAUUCAUAUGGGGGAGAAACCAUAUCACUGUACUAUCUGUGGUAAAUCAUUCUCUAAUGACAGUCACUUAACUCGACAUAUACGUAUCGAUACAGGAGAGAGACCUUAUCCCUGUGAUAUCUGUGGUGAAUCGUUCUCUGUUGGCAGUAGCUUAACUCGUCAUAAACGUAUCCAUACAGGAGAGAAACCAUAUCACUGUGAUUUAUGUGGUAAAUCUUUCUCUGAAAACGAUAGCUUAACUCAACACAAACGUAUUCAUACAGGGGAGAAACCCUAUCAAUGUGGUGUCUGUGGUGAAUCAUUCUAUCACAGAGGUAACUUUACUACUCACUCAAGGGUUCAUACAGGGGAGAAGCCAUAUCACUGUGACAUCUGUGAUAAAUCAUUCUCUGUUAGUAGUUGCCUAACUAGACACAAGCGUGUUCAUGCAGUGGAGAAAACCUCCCCGUGAUAUCAAUGGCAAAUUAGUCUAUCAAAGAAGUAACUUAAGUACUCACACAUGGGUUCAUACAGAAGAGGAACCAAAUCAAUGUCAUGUGUGUGGUAGAUCAUUCUCUUGUACUUACUGCUUAGAU
rnacentral:misc_RNA from 1 species